CAAGGGCAAGCUUUUUUUUUAAUAAGUCUAUUCUUUCCUCUCAUACGAGAAUUCCUCUGCUAUACAGACCAACAUCCUUUGCCUGUUUCCUGUAACCAUAGAGAUAAUAAAUUCAGCCAAUCCCCAGGCAGGACUGCGUGGAAUGUUUUCCUGAACUCUCUUUGAAUUUCCUUCCACGACAAACGCUCUCUCUAGCAAUCUCAGAGCGCAACUCUCAAGUCAUUAUACUUGUCAGGAAUACUUCUAUGGAAUGCUGUAAAAAACACCAGGAGUCGCCGCCAGGCCCUGAUCCAAUUCCUGGGAUUGCAAACGGCGUUCUCCAGAACAGAUGUUCAGCGACGGUCGACUGCAUUCGCCACUGCCCGGACACUUCUCACAGGUGUGGUUGAGAAACGUAUGUGUCUGGAGUGACGGGAGCUAUGCCCACUGAAAGUACCGACAGAAACUCGACUGAUUUGGCUGAUGUCCCUCUCAGGAAGCCAUCUUCUGUGAAUCAAUCAGCUGUCGGCUGUGGGAUUUCAACUCUGCCUCAUGUUUGCUGGGAUUUUGAGCUCGGUUUAGCUGUGCUGUUGAUGGCCUUGGCUGGGCUUUUGAUCUUGGUAUUACUGUAUUGGGUGCUCCUGCUGCGCCACAGGCUCCGCGUCGCUCAGGCCGGGAAUGCUCUGGAAUAUUUCGGUUUCUACCACAUGGCUCAGUAUGAUCUAAAAGAGCCCAACCUGCCUGUAGUGACCCCUUCUCUUCCCUCCCCACCUCCACCUGUUCUCCACCUCACUCCUCCACCUCCACCGCCGAUGUUGUAUGUGCCUCCCCCCUUUAUCCACACCACCCCACCCAGCCCUCACCCAUCAUGUGGAGCCGGCUCGGAUGCGGAGGUGUACUCACGGAUCGGAGUCUUGCGACCCUCGAGACCCUCCAGUGUGAGUCAGACCCAGGUGAUCCUGUUUGAACACUCCGCUCUUUGACAACCUGAUGCUUUCAAGUAUACAAGCACAGCUGAUUUCACUUUGUGUGCUUAUUUUUGGACUGUUUUGCAAUAUUUAAAGUAUUAGGUAGAUCAGACAAUCACCCACUUUCUAAGUACAUUCCUGUCUGAAUUUGUUAUAUAUUUUCUGUAUCAUUUUUAAAAAUGUUUUACAUUUAAAAGCUUUCAAAUGUGUUUCCUAUGUUAGGAAAAGUAACAGGAAAAGCGGUUUGUUUUGAAACAAACAUAUUUUUCUUUUUCCUGCAUCUGCCUUUGUGAUUUCCUUUAAAGGGUGGGAUUUCCUGAGGAGACAUUCCAUUUCUUUGUUCCUCUCUGCCUCUUCGGAUUUCAGUGUUCCUUCUCUCUCACUGGCUAUGUAAAUAUCAAAUAAAUAAUUAUGAAAAUAAUUAAGUAUUAUAAAAAUAAAUUAUAAAGUUAAUAUGUGACCCUGGACCACAAAACCAGUAAUAAGUCGCAGGGGUAUAUUUGUAGCAAUAGCCAACAACACAUUGUAUGGGUCAGAAUUAUCGAUUUUUCUUUUAUGCCAAAAAUCAUUAAGAUAUUAAGUAAAUAUCAUGUUCAAUGAAGAUAUUUUGUAAAUUUCCUACUGUAACUAUAUAUAAAAAUUUAUUUUUGUGAGUGGAUAUGCAUUGCUAAGAACUUCAUUUGGACAACUUUAAAGUCGAUUUUCUCAAUAUUUAGAUUUUUUUUUUGCACCCUCAGAUUCCAGAUUUUCAAAUAGUUGUAUCUCGGCCAAAUAUUGUCCUAUCCUAACAAACAUAAGAAAGCUUAUUUAUUCAGCUUUCAGAUGAUUUUUGGAAGGAUUUUGUGGUCCAGGGUCACAUAUGAAUAAAUGCACUACUAUUCAAAAGUUUAGGGUCGGUAAAAAGUCUCUUAUGCUCACCAAGGCUGCAUUCAUCUGAUUAAAAAUACAGUAAAACGGAAUUAUUGUGAAAUAUUGUUACAAUUUAAAAUAGAUAAUAGAUGUUUUCUAUUGUAAUAUAUUUUAAAAUGUAAAUAAUAUUUCACAAUAACUCCAUUUUACUGUAUUUCAGCUUUUACAUAUAUAUAUAUAUAUAUAUAUAUAUAUAUAUAUAUAUAUAUAUAUAUAUAAGCUGAAUUUUGAGCAUCAUUACUCCAGUGUCACAUGAUCCUUCAGAAAUCAUUCUAAUAUGUUGAUUUAGUGCUCAAGAAACAUUUCUUUUGCUGCUUAAUAUUUAUGUGGAUACCAUGAUACAUUUUUUUUUUUUCAAAAAACUUUGAUGAAUACAAAUAUAAUAGAAAUAUAAAUGUUUUGUAAUAUUAUAAAUGUCUUUACUGUCAUAUAUAUAUAUAUAUAUAUAUAUAUAUAUAUAUAUAAUCAAAAUAAAUAUAUGUAUAUUAAUUGCAUUUUUAUUUUUAUUUUAUUAUACAUUUUAUGUAUAUUAAUUGCAUUUAAAUUUUAUAUUAGGCCUAUAUAAUUAUUUAUAUAUAUCGUGUAAAACUAUAAAGUGAAUACUUGUUUCUGAGUUGCAGAUGUGUGAAUUACAGCACACUGCAUCUGUUGCCUUCUCUGAAAUGCAUAUGGCGUUCAUGUACAAACAUUCUAAGGCCACAAAGUAUAUCUGAAUAAUUGAUGACUCUCUACCACUUCCCUUUCUGAAAAUGUAUAAUUUAGCAUUAUAAAACAGCUGCAGGAGGAAUAUGAUAAUUGUGGAGCAAAAGUUCACGACCUUUUUAUGAACUGAAAACUUGCCAUGGAUUUUAUAUUUCACUCAGUAGAUUAAAGUGAAAUCAAACUUGAAUAUAACUGGUCUAAAUCACAUUUUCCAUGACAUUUAAUGUAUUCAGAUCAAUAUGAAUAAAAUGUGGCUGAAUUAUUGAGUCACAGUUAAUGUAUUGAUGCUCAAAGCACUUGCUGGUCAGAUGUUUGGAAUAUUCUUCCUGUUUAAUUGCUGCAGGUCUGCCUGUGUAUAUAGCAUUUCCGAUGACUGACAUCACAGAAUUUACUGGUAUUUUGCUGCUUAUGUGUGAAUCAUCUCUUAUUGGUAAAAAGCCAGAACGCUGUUGCUUGUGUGAACAGCAUAUUUGUGUAUUUACCUGUAAAGCCAUUCUAGUAAUCUAGUCAUUCUAAUAAUUGCUGUGUGAAAGGGUUUAUGAUGAAACAAAGCUGUCCUUCUUGUUUAUAAGAUUGCUUGGAAUAAUACUCUAAUUUUCAAUAUCA